GACGAACCGAGCGAACGUUGUUCGGAAUCACUGGGCUUAAAGGGCGCGUAGGCGGGCUGUCAAGUCUGGGGUGAAAUCCCACGGCUCAACCGUGGAACUGCUGGGCAUACUGGACAUCUCGAGGCACUCAGGGGCGAGCGGAACAAGUGGUGGAGCGGUGAAAUGCGUAGAUAUCACUUGGAACGCCAAUGGUGAAGACAGCUCGCUGGGGGUGUCCUGACGCUGAGGCGCGAAAGCCAGGGGAGCGAACGGG
rnacentral:rRNA from 1 species